GGUGUCUACUAUGAACCAUCCUGUACUCAGAAUGUGAAUCAUGGUGUACUUGUGGUUGGCUAUGGUGAUCUUAAUGGGAAAGAAUACUGGCUUGUGAAAAACAGCUGGGGCCACAACUUUGGUGAAGAAGGAUAUAUUCGGAUGGCAAGAAAUAAAGGAAAUCAUUGUGGGAUUGCUAGCUUUCCCUCUUACCCAGAAAUCUAGAGGAUCUCUCCUUUUUAUAACAAAUCAAGAAAUAUGAAGCACUUUCUCUUAACUUAAUUUUUCCUGCUGUAUCCAGAAGAAAUAAUUGUGUCAUGAUUAAUGUGUAUUUACUGUACUAAUUAGAAAAUAUAGUUUGAGGCCGGGCACGGUGGCUCACGCCUGUAAUCCCAGUACUUGGGAGGCCAAGGCAGGCAUAUCAACUUGAGGCCAGGAGUUAAAGAGCAGCCUGGCUAACAUGGUGAAACCCCAUCUCUACUAAAAAUACAAAAAAUUAGCCGAGCACGGUGGUGCAUGCCUGUAAUCCCAGCUACUUGGGAGGCUGAGGCACGAGAUUCCUUGAACCCAAGAGGUUGAGGCUAUGUUGAGCUGAGAUCACACCACUGUACUCCAGCCUGGAUGACAGAGUGGAGACUCUGUUUCAAAAAAACAGAAAAGAAAAUAUAGUUUGAUUCUUCAUUUUUUUAAAUUUGCAAAUCUCAGGAUAAAGUUUGCUAAGUAAAUUAGUAAUGUACUAUAGAUAUAACUGUACAAAAAUUGUUCAACCUAAAACAAUCUGUAAUUGCUUAUUGUUUUAUUGUAUACUCUUUGUCUUUUUAAGACCCCUAAUAGCCUUUUGUAACUUGAUGGCUUAAAAAUACUUAAUAAAUCUGCCAUUUCAAAU
rnacentral:lncRNA from 10 species